rnacentral:ncRNA from 1 species
AAGUAGAGGCGCGGCAAUCAUGAGUCACAUCCCCGAGGCCCUGACAGCCAACGACGAGAUGCAAAAGGGAACGCCGCCGAAGUGAAUCCGCCGGUCAGAACGGAUCCGCUGGGCCUGUAGUGAACAACUGCAGGACUGUCACCGGAAUGGGAAGAAUCCGGUGGAGUGCUACUU